CCCUUAGAUGUUCUGGGCCGCACGCGCGCUACACUGAUGCAUUCAACGAGUCUAAAACCUGCUCUGAUAGGGGUGGGUAAUCUUUUGAAUGUGCAUCGUGAUUGGGAUAGAUGAUUGCAAUUUUUCAUCUUCAACGAGGAAUGCCUAGUAAACGCAAGUCAUCAGCUUGCAUUGAUUACGUGCCUGCCCUUUGUACACACCGCCCGUCGCUACUACCGAUUGAAUGGUUUAGUGAGAUCUCCGGAUUGGCGGCCUUGGUACCUUCACGGGUCCAACGGUUCUGCCGAGAAGCUGCUCGAACUUGAUCAUUUAGAGGAAGUAAAAGUCGUAACA
rnacentral:rRNA from 1 species